rnacentral:rRNA from 1 species
UACGUAGGGGGCGAGCGUUGUCCGGAAUUAUUGGGGCGUAAAGAGCUCGUAGGCGGUUCCGCAAGUCGGGUGGGAAAUCUCCAGGCUCAACCUGGAGCCUUCGCUCGAUACUGCGGUGACUAGAGUCCGGUAGGGGAGUGUGGAAUUCCCGGUGUAGCGGUGAAAUGCGCAGAUAUCGGGAGGAACACCGGCGGCGAAGGCGGCACUCUGGGCCGGUACUGACGCUGAGGAGAGAAAGCGGUGGGGAGCGAACGAGG